CCUACGGGAGGCAGCAGUGGGGAAUAUUGCACAAUGGGCGAAAGCCUGAUGCAGCGACGCCGCGUGAGGGAUGACGGCCUUCGGGUCGUAAACCUCUUUCAGCAGGGAAGAAGCGAAAGUGACGGUACCUGCAGAAGAAGCGCCGGCUAACUACGUGCCAGCAGCCGCGGUAAUACGUAGGGCGCAAGCGUUGUCCGGAAUUAUUGGGCGUAAAGAGCUCGUAGGCGGCUUGUCACGUCGGAUGUGAAAGCCCGGGGCUUAACCCCGGGUCUGCAUUCGAUACGGGCUAGCUAGAGUGUGGUAGGGGAGAUCGGAAUUCCUGGUGUAGCGGUGAAAUGCGCAGAUAUCAGGAGGAACACCGGUGGCGAAGGCGGAUCUCUGGGCCAUUACUGACGCUGAGGAGCGAAAGCGUGGGGAGCGAACAGGAUUAGAUACCCUGGUAGUCCACGCCGUAAACGUUGGGAACUAGGUGUUGGCGACAUUCCACGUCGUCGGUGCCGCAGCUAACGCAUUAAGUUCCCCGCCUGGGGAGUACGGCCGCAAGGCUAAAACUCAAGGAUUGACGG
rnacentral:rRNA from 1 species